rnacentral:rRNA from 1 species
CCUACGGGAGGCAGCAGUCGAGGAUCUUCGGCAAUGGACGAAAGUCUGACCGAGCAACGCCGCGUGUGCGAUGAAGGCCUUCGGGUUGUAAAGCACUGUCGAGGGGAAACAAGCCGUAAGGUUGAGUGACCCCUGGAGGAAGCACGGGCUAAGUUCGUGCCAGCAGCCGCGGUAAGACGAACCGUGCAAACGUUAUUCGGAAUCACUGGGCUUAAAGGGCGCGUAGGCGGGUGAUCAAGUCAAUGGUGAAAUCCUCCAGCUUAACUGGAGAAGUGCCUUUGAUACUGAUUGUCUAGAGGGAGGUAGGGGCAUGUGGAACUUCAGGUGGAGCGGUGAAAUGCGUAGAUAUCUGAAGGAACGCCAGUGGCGAAAGCGAUGUGCUGGACCUCUUCUGACGCUGAGGCGCGAAAGCUAGGGGAUCAAACGGGAUUAGAUACCCCGGUAGUCCUAGCCCUAAACUAUGGGUACUAGAUUGUGGACUUUCAUGGGUUCACAGUCGAAGCAAAAGCGUUAAGUACCCCGCCUGGGGAGUAUGGUCGCAAGGCUGAAACUCAAAUGAAUUGACGG